GAUGAACGCUGGCGGCGUGCCUAAUACAUGCAAGUCGAGCGAAUGGAUUAAGAGCUUGCUCUUAUGAAGUUAGCGGCGGACGGGUGAGUAACACGUGGGUAACCUACCCAAAAGACUGGGAUAACUCCGGGAAACCGGGGCUAAUACCGGAUAACAUUUUGAACCGCAUGGUUCGAAAUUGAAAGGCGGCUUCGGCUGUCACUUAUGGAUGGACCCGCGUCGCAUUAGCUAGUUGGUGAGGUAACGGCUCACCAAGGCAACGAUGCGUAGCCGACCUGAGAGGGUGAUCGGCCACACUGGGACCGAGACACGGCCCAGACUCCUACGGGAGGCAGCAGUAGGGAGUCUUCCGCAAUGGACGAAAGUCUGACGGAGCAACGCCGCGUGAGUGAUGAAGGCUUUCGGGUCGUAAAACUCUGUUGUUAGGGAAGAACAAGUGCUAGUUGAAUAAGCUGGCACCUUGACGGUACCUAACCAGAAAGCCACGGCUAACUACGUGCCAGCCGCCGCCGUAA
rnacentral:rRNA from 1 species